UUCUCCCAGAAGUCGACUUCUCCCAAAAGUUGCUUCUCCUCGGUAUUUGUGUCCUUCUUUUUCUUUCUCUCCUCGUUAUUAAACUCUGUACUUCAGUCUUGAAUAGAACUCAGAAAAGAUCAAAAGAGUGAUGGAUUAAGAACAAGAAGUUGUGGAAGAAGAACAGCAGUUGCAAGAAGAUAUGUACGAAGGGAAUUGGGUUUAGAGAAGAGGUCAUUCUGGUUUUUCAUACUCCAACACAGUUGCAAAUGUUCAUGGAAUUGGAAUUGCUGAAUUGAUGGAGCUGCAAUUGUCACUGGGACCAAAAAAUGCAACACCAACCCCAUCGCCUCCCGCAUCCGAAGGAAGUACUGCGCCUUCAUAUACAAGUGCUGCAACUUUCUCGAUUUUGAAGAUAUCAACUCAAGUUACUCAACUAACAAUAACCUAUCUUUUGGAGCAAUACUAAGGAUAAGUUACACCUAAGAAUAAACACAUAGAAGGCCAUCGUUCUCACAUUUUCUGAUUUUCUUUUUUUUUUUGUAGAUAGUAAAAAUUUGAUGUUGGUCUGAAAAUGAUGUUUUUUUGGUGCAUAAAUUUGUUUUGCAACAAACAAUAAAACUGAUGAUUUAUGUUCUUUUUUCAUAACAAUUAAUUUUAUGAUACUAAAUAUAUUUUGACUUC